AGGACGAACGCUGGCGGCGUGCCUAACACAUGCAAGUCGAGCGAGGAGAUCCUUCGGGAUGAUCCUAGCGGCGGACGGGUGAGUAACACGUGGGCAACCUGCCUCAUAGAGAGGAAUAGCCUUCCGAAAGGGAGAUUAAUACCUCAUAACAUUGCAGUUUCGCAUGGAACAGCAAUUAAAGGAGUAAUCCGCUAUGAGAUGGGCCCGCGGCGCAUUAGCUAGUUGGUGAGGUAACGGCUCACCAAGGCGACGAUGCGUAGCCGACCUGAGAGGGCGAUCGGCCACAUUGGGACUGAGACACGGCCCAGACUCCUACGGGAGGCAGCAGUGGGGAAUAUUGCACAAUGGGGGAAACCCUGAUGCAAGCAACGCCGCGUGAGUGAUGACGGCCUUCGGGUUGUAAAGCUCUGUCUUCAGGGACGAUAAUGACGGUACCUGAGGAGGAAGCCACGGCUAACUACGUGCCAGCCGCUGC
rnacentral:rRNA from 1 species